GGCCUCGUGGCUCAACUGGUAGAGCGUGCAAUGUACAAAAAGUGUAGGCGGCGUUCAUGCGUGGGUUCGAAUCCUACCGAGACUA
rnacentral:tRNA from 1 species